rnacentral:rRNA from 1 species
GACGUAGGGUGCGAGCGUUGUCCGGAUUUAUUGGGCGUAAAGAGCUCGUAGGCGGUGUGUCACGUCGGCCGUGAAAACCUGCAGCUUAACUGUGGGCGUGCGGUCGAUACGGGCAUCACUGGAGUUCGGCAGGGGAGACUGGAAUUCCUGGUGUAGCGGUGAAAUGCGCAGAUAUCGGGAGGAACACCGGUGGCGAAGGCGGUUCUCUGGACAGUUCCUGACACUG